rnacentral:rRNA from 1 species
GAUCAACGCUGGCGGCGUGCCUAACACAUGCAAGUCGCGCGCGAAAGGGGGGCAACCCCCGAGUAGUGCGGCGAACGGGUGAGUAACGCGUGGGUGAUCUGCCUCCGAGUGGGGAAUAACACCGGGAAACUGGUGCUAAUACCGCAUGACAUCCUCGGGUCGCACCGGGGAUCAAAGCCGGGGACCGCAAGGCCUGGCGCUUGGAGAUGAGCCCGCGUCCGAUUAGCUAGUUGGCGGGGUAAAGGCCUACCAAGGCGACGAUCUGUAGCGGGUCUGAGAGGAUGAUCCGCCACACUGGGACUGAGACACGGCCCAGACUCCUACGGGAGGCAGCAGUGGGGAAUAUUGGACAAUGGGGGGAACCCUGAUCCAGCCAUGCCGCGUGUGUGAAGAAGGCCUUUUGGUUGUAAAGCACUUUAAGCGAGGAGGAGGCUACCGAGAUUAAUACUCUUGGAUAGUGGACGUUACUCGCAGAAUAAGCACCGGCUAACUCUGUGCCAGCCGCCGCAGUAAUAC